rnacentral:rRNA from 1 species
AGAGUUUGAUCCUGGCUCAGGAUGAACGCUGGCGGCGUGCCUAACACAUGCAAGUCGAACGAAGCUGCGUUGACGGAGACUUCGGUUGAAGUUGAUGCAGACUUAGUGGCGGACGGGUGAGUAAUGCGUGAGCAACCUGCCUUGAAGAGGGGGACAACAGCUGGAAACGGCUGCUAAUACCGCAUAACAUAUUUGGAGGGCAUCCUCCGGAUAUCAAAGGAGCAAUCCGCUUUAAGAUGGGCUCACGUCUGAUUAGUUAGUUGGCAGGGUAACGGCCUACCAAGACUGCGAUCAGUAGCCGGACUGAGAGGUUGAACGGCCACAUUGGGACUGAGAUACGGCCCAGACUCCUACGGGAGGCAGCAGUGGGGAAUAUUGGGCAAUGGGCGAAAGCCUGACCCAGCAACGCCGCGUGAAGGAAGAAGAUUUUCGGAUUGUAAACUUCUUUUAUGAUGGACGAAGGAAGUGACGGUACAUCAUGAAUAAGCCCCGGCUAAAUACGUGCCAGCAGCCGCGGUAAUACGUAUGGUGCAAGCGUUAUCCGGAUUUACUGGGUGUAAAGGGAGCGCAGGCGGUUCUGCAAGUCUGAUGUGAAAGCCCGGGGCUCAACCCCGGAACUGCAUUGAAAACUGUGGGACUAGAGUGUCGGAGGGGUAAGCGGAAUUCCUAGUGUAGCGGUGAAAUGCGUAGAUAUUAGGAGGAACACCGGUGGCGAAGGCGGCUUACUGGACGAUGACUGACGCUGAGGCUCGAAAGCGUGGGGAGCAAACAGGGGUUAGAUACCCUGGUAGUCCACGCUGUAAACGAUGAAUACUAGGUGUUGGCACGCAUAGCGUGUCGGUGCCGCCGCAAACGCAUUAAGUAUUCCACCUGGGGAGUACGUUCGCAAGAAUGAAACUCAAAGGAAUUGACGGGGACCCGCACAAGCGGUGGAGCAUGUGGUUUAAUUCGAAGCAACGCGAAGAACCUUACCAGGUCUUGACAUCCCUCUGACCGGACCUUAACCGGUCCUUCUCUUCGGAGCAGGGGAGACAGGUGGUGCAUGGUUGUCGUCAGCUCGUGUCGUGAGAUGUUGGGUUAAGUCCCGCAACGAGCGCAACCCUUAUCUUCAGUAGCCAGCGGUUUGGCCGGGCACUCUGGAGAGACUGCCAGGGAUAACCUGGAGGAAGGCGGGGAUGACGUCAAAUCAUCAUGCCCCUUAUGACCUGGGCUACACACGUGCUACAAUGGCGUAAACAAAGGGAAGCAAAGCCGCGAGGCUGAGCAAAUCUCAAAAAUAACGUCUCAGUUCGGACUGUAGUCUGCAACCCGACUACACGAAGCUGGAAUCGCUAGUAAUCGCAGAUCAGAAUGCUGCGGUGAAUACGUUCCCGGGUCUUGCACUCACCGCCCGUCA